rnacentral:rRNA from 1 species
AGAGUUUGAUCCUGGCUCAGGACGAACGUCGGCGGCGCGCCUAACACAUGCAAGUCGAACGAGCGAGAGAGAGCUUGCCUUUCUCGAGCGAGUGGCGAACGGGUGAGUAACGCGUGAGGAACCUGCCUCAAAGAGGGGGACAACAGUUGGAAAUGACUGCUAAUACCGCAUAAGCCCACGACCCGGCAUCGGGUAGAGGGAAAAGGAGCAAUCCGCUUUGAGAUGGCCUCGCGUCCGAUUAGCUAGUUGGUGAGGUAACGGCCCACCAAGGCGACGAUCGGUAGCCGGACUGAGAGGUUGAACGGCCACAUUGGGACUGAGACACGGCCCAGACUCCUACGGGAGGCAGCAGUGGGGAAUAUUGCACAAUGGGGGAAACCCUGAUGCAGCGACGCCGCGUGGAGGAAGAAGGUCUUCGGAUUGUAAACUCCUGUUGUUGAGGAAGAUAAUGACGGUACUCAACAAGGAAGUGACGGCUAACUACGUGCCAGCAGCCGCGGUAAAACGUAGGUCACAAGCGUUGUCCGGAAUUACUGGGUGUAAAGGGAGCGCAGGCGGGAAGACAAGUUGGAAGUGAAAUCCAUGGGCUCAACCCAUGAACUGCUUUCAAAACUGUUUUUCUUGAGUAGUGCAGAGGUAGGCGGAAUUCCCGGUGUAGCGGUGGAAUGCGUAGAUAUCGGGAGGAACACCAGUGGCGAAGGCGGCCUACUGGGCACCAACUGACGCUGAGGCUCGAAAGUGUGGGUAGCAAACAGGAUUAGAUACCCUGGUAGUCCACACCGUAAACGAUGAUACUAGGUGUUGGAGGAUCGACCCCUUCAGUGCCGCAGUUAACACAAUAAGUAAUCCACCUGGGGAGUACGACCGCAAGGUUGAAACUCAAAGGAAUUGACGG